GGAGGAGUGACCGAGUGGUUAAAGGUAACAGACUGUAAAUCUGUCCGCGUUGCGUACGUAGGUUCGAAUCCUACCUCCUCCA
rfam:Wolbachia endosymbiont of Drosophila simulans wNo, complete genome.